rnacentral:rRNA from 1 species
GCGUAAGUACCUGCCUUUAGGAUAGGAACAACAGUUGGAAACGGCUGCUAAUCCCUUAUAUGCUGAGGAGUCAAACAUUUUUGGCCUAGAGAGGGGCGUUGCGUCUGAUUAGCUAGUUGGUAGGGUAAAGGCCUACCAAAGCGACGAUCAGUAGCUGGUUUGAGAGGAUGAUCAGCCACACUGGGACUGAGACACGGCCCAGACUCCUACGGGAGGCAGCAGUGGGGAAUUUUCCGCAAUGGGCGAAAGCCUGACGGAGCAAUGCCGCGUGGAGGAAGACGGCCCGUGGGUUGUAAACUC